rnacentral:rRNA from 1 species
UGGGGAAUAUUGGACAAUGGGGGCAACCCUGAUCCAGCAAUGCCGCGUGUGUGAAGAAGGCCUGAGGGUUGUAAAGCACUUUAGGUGGGGAGGAUGGUAGAGCAGGUUAAGAGCUAGUUUUAUUGACGUUACCCGCAGAAUAAGCACCGGCUAACUCCGUGCCAGCAGCCGCGGUAAUACGGAGGGUGCAAGCGUUAAUCGGAAUUACUGGGCGUAAAGAGUGCGUAGGCGGUUAGGGAAGUUAUCUGU